AGGUGCGCUUUGCUUCCUAACCCGUUGCCGGGUUGGAGAUUCCACCUCCGAAGUUUUCUUUCUGACUUUUGAUUUUACAUUCCUAGUACAGUGGAGAAGCCCAGGCGGCCUAGAAUCCAGUGUCGUCCGUGAGUGCUUGGCUGGUGUUCAAGUGCAUCUUCCAGCCUGAGACCGCGUGGACUCGCUCAUCGUGAGGGCGAGAGGAGGAUAAGCCCAUUGGGCUGUCGGCUGAGAGUGAGGUGCGGGACCAUCCACAAUAUUGUUUGAACAUCUGAAGACAUGGGGAACUUGCCAUCUGAUAUCUGAUAACAGACUUCCUGUAAAGCAGGACUGGUAGUUUCCUGAUAACAAAUUCUUCAAUAUGAAGGAUAUAGCUGUGUCCUUUACAACUGGUAGCAUGGAAAGAAAGAGAAGUCUGCAAAGAUUGAACAAACAGCAUGCACUGUGGUAUCCUUUAUUUAAAAAUUGUGAGCUGACUACAGUUGUAGUGUUCUCAUUUACCAUUCUGAUGGCAUAAUAAACCAAGAGAACAUUAACACAAUUCCAAGAAGGCAUUAACCUGUAACACACAUAUACGCCACACAUGCACACACACAACAUACACGCACACAAAGGUUAUAUUCUGAACACAAAAGUGAUAGAAAAAAGCUUUGAAUGCGCUAAAUCAAAUAAAAACCCUUUAUUAUAAUAAACUGUGGCAAUACUGUGGCUAUCAUGAAAAAUAUUGUAACUAUUUUAAAAGCAAAAGGAAAAAUACUGGCAGUUUGAAACUAGCAGCAAAAAGCAGAUAAAA
rnacentral:lncRNA from 10 species